UACGGGGGGAGCAAGCGUUGUUCGGAUUUACUGGGCGUAAAGGGCGCGUAGGCGGUAGCACAAGUCAGUUGUGAAAUCUCCGGGCUUAACUCGGAAAGGUCAACUGAUACUGUACGACUAGAGUGCAGAAGGGGCAACUGGAAUUCUCGGUGUAGCGGUGAAAUGCGUAGAUAUCGAGAGGAACACCUGCGGCGAAGGCGGGUUGCUGGGCUGACACUGACGCUGAGGCGCGAAAGCCAGGGGAGCGAACAGG
rnacentral:rRNA from 1 species